rnacentral:rRNA from 1 species
GGAUUGCCCUAGUAACGGCGAGUGAAGCGGCAACAGCUCAAAUUUGAAAUCUGGCCUUCUUGGUCCGAAUUGUAAUUUGUAGAGGAUGCUUUUGGCGCGGUGCCUUCCGAGUUCCCUGGAACGGGACGCCUUAGAGGGUGAGAGCCCCGUACGGUUGGACACCAAGCCUUUGUAAAGCUCCUUCGACGAGUCGAGUAGUUUGGGAAUGCUGCUCUAAAUGGGAGGUAAAUUUCUUCUAAAGCUAAAUACCGGCCAGAGACCGAUAGCGCACAAGUAGAGUGAUCGAAAGAUGAAAAGCACUUUGAAAAGAGGGUUAAAUAGCACGUGAAAUUGUUGAAAGGGAAGCGUUUACGACCAGACCUUUUCCUGGCGGAUCAUCCGGUGUUCUCACCGGUGCACUUCGCCUGGUUUAGGCCAGCAUCGGUUUCCGUAGGGGGAUAAAAGCUUGGGGAAAGUAGCUCUCUUCGGAGAGUGUUAUAGCCCUUUGCAUAAUACUUCUAUAGGGACCGAGGACCGCGCUUUGCAAGGAUGCUGGCAUAAUGGUCGUCAACGACCCGUCUUGAAACACGGACCAAGGAGUCGAACAUUUGUGCGAGUGUUUGGGUGUUAAACCCUCACGCGUAAUGAAAGUGAACGGAGGUGAGAGCCCUUACGGGUGCAUCAUCGACCGAUCCUGAUGUCUUCGGAUGGAUUUGAGUAAGAGCAUAACUGUUCGGACCCGAAAGAUGGUGAACUAUGCGUGGAUAGGGUGAAGCCAGAGGAAACUCUGGUGGAGGCUCGCAGCGGUUCUGACGUGCAAAUCGAUCGUCAAAUCUGCGCAUGGGGGCGAAAGACUAAUCGAACCAUUGAAAACCAGCGGUAAAUUUGAUUUACUAGGUGGUUAAGAGGCCUUCGUGACGAAGGCCUAGGCCGACCUACCCGGUAAGGUCUUACCCUGUAAGACCUUACCCUGUAGGAAGGCCGACACCGCUAAAUUGCGGGGACAUCCAGUAAAGGCUCCAGGCUACCGCCCUGCGCUGAAAAGUGUACGGGCACCAAGAAUAGCGAUCUUGGGUACGGUAAUAACGCCUGGGGUAUCGGACGACCUGCAGCCAACCCCGUAUCUCAGGGGAGAGUUCACUGACUAGACAGCGGUGGGUUGCUUCGCAUCACCUGCGAGGCGGCCUAAGACAUAGUCGAUCCGGGCCCUGAAAAGGAGCCCUAAACCUCUGAGGGAACCUACCCGGUAAGAACUUACCCGGUAGUAGGUUACCCUGUAGAGAAA